rnacentral:tRNA from 1 species
AAGUAAGAAGUGAAAUAAUCACAAUUAGUUUCGACCUAAUAUAUGGUAAAUAAAUAUACCCUUACUUU